rnacentral:sRNA from 1 species
UGAUUUUCUAUUUUUUAUCUCGUUAUUUAUAAUUUAAACUCAAAUAGUUCAAAAUUUUCAUAUGUAAAAUAUAUUGUUAGAAGCAAAUCUCAUUGAUGUCAACACUAAUCAAGUAAAUGGUGGUUGGGUUAUCCGAGACCACGAAGGAGUUCCUAAAGCAUGGGGUUCGUCAUUGUUGAAACUCACAACAUCACCACUAGAGGCGGAAGCACUAGCACUACUUUGUUCAUUGCAACAAGCAUGGAUUCGAGGGUUCACCAAGGUAUACUUUGAAGGGGACUGCAAAAUCUUAAUUGACAGCAUCAACAAUGAAUCAAUAGAUUCAUCUAUCACCGGCAUCUACGCGGAUAUCAAGUUUUGGGCGGCUAAGUUUAAAGAAGUUUAUUUCUCUCAUGUAAAUCAUUGUUGUAACCAAGUAGCUCAUAAUCUUGCUCAAUAUGGAAGCAUAGACACUAGUUUUUAUUCUGACAUUCAAAAUCCUCUCACUUGGAUUGUAAACAUUUUGUAUGAUGAUCUUUCAAAU